UGGGGAAUUUUGCGCAAUGGGGGAAACCCUGACGCAGCGACGCCGCGUGUGGGAUGAAGGUCUUCGGAUUGUAAACCACUGUCGCGAGGGACGAAGCUCUGACGGUACCUCGAAAGGAAGCACCGGCUAACUCUGUGCCAGCAGCCGCGGUAAUACAGAGGGUGCGAGCGUUGUCCGGAAUCACUGGGCGUAAAGGGCGCGUAGGCGGCCCGGUAAGUAGGGGGUGAAAUCUCAUGGCUCAACUGUGAGGCUGCCUUCUAGACUGCCAGGCUUGAGCACAGUAGAGGCGAGUGGAAUUCCCGGUGUAGCGGUGGAAUGCGUAGAGAUCGGGAAGAACAUCGGUGGCGAAGGCGGCUCGCUGGGCUGUUGCUGACGCUGAGGCGCGAAAGCGUGGGGAGCAAACAGGAUUAGAUACCCCCGUAGUCCCUGAGCGGGCUGGCAAGGCGCAU
rnacentral:rRNA from 1 species